CACCUAAAUGAGCUCCCCCAGGACAGGAAGAUGAGAGAAGUUCCUGGGAAAGGGAAGCGACUGGGGUGGUGCUAUCACAUAUAAAAAGGGUAGAUAUUGGAAAUGAAACCAGGAUAAAUGGAACUCCAGAACCUGCUACCUUAGUCUUCUCCUUCCUGAAACAAGGAAUGCCUCAAAAAGCCCAGCUUCUAGAUGGAAACUUACAGGAGAUUGAGCCUACAGGAAACUACAUGGAUGAAGCAAAACCUCACCACAGAUCCAGCACCCACAUCACUUAGUGGGCAGAAGAUCCUCAUCAGAUCUAAUGCAGCAGGUCUUGAUGUUGCCAUAAAUAAUGAUCCACUGGCCUGGGAGACUGAGGCAACUGAGGACCUCUGACAGAUGACACAUUUGAGAGUGCUGGCAAAGGGGGAAAUGCACUUCAGGCUGACCCUCAACUCGUUUUCUCAUACUACACUGUCCUGACAAGUGUUUUCCUUGGAUCAUAAGGCAUGGUGAGAGAACUUCUUGUUUUCCAUAGUUAAGAGAACAUUAAUCAAAGUAUUUGCUGAAACUGAUCUGAUUGGAAGUCAUUAAGGAAAAAAAAUGAUGCUCCCAACUGGGAAGCUAUUGCCCAACCUUUGAACUGGACUGCUUCAUUUGGGGAUGAUUCCACACUUCAUUUUCUGAGUGCUGUUGAAAAUGUCUUUGGUUGUGAGUGCAGAAUAUUUGUUGUGCUAAAAUCCUAACUAAUGACCAUUUAGGCAGCUCCACUGGUACCCAACGUGUUCUUCUGGCUCUCAGGUGUUUUGGUGUACGCUAAGUUCUCCACACAAUCAGAAAAGCAUCCCUCACUGCCACCAGUGCUGCACUUCAAUCAGUGGUUAGAGCACUCCUCAGGCCCUGACACCUGAGACAAGCCUAGAUAGAGCUUACUGGUCCCUUAGUGAUUUAACACCUGCCUCCUAGAAAGUGGAACCCAUUCUGUAUCUGACUAAUCAGCUAUGCUUUUCU